rnacentral:rRNA from 1 species
CUUCUGGUUCGGAAUAACUCAUGGAAACUUGAGCUAAUACCGGAUACGCCCUUUUGGGGAAAGGCUUGCUGCCGGAGGAUCGGCCCGCGUCUGAUUAGCUAGUUGGUGAGGUAACGGCUCACCAAGGCUUUGAUCAGUAGCUGGUCUGAGAGGAUGAUCAGCCACACUGGGACUGAGACACGGCCCAGACUCCUACGGGAGGCAGCAGUGGGGAAUAUUGGACAAUGGGCGAAAGCCUGAUCCAGCAAUGCCGCGUGAGUGAUGAAGGCCUUAGGGUUGUAAAGCUCUUUUAUCCGGGACGAUAAUGACGGUACCGGAGGAAUAAGCCCCGGCUAACUCUGUGCCAGCAGCCGCGGUAAU